rnacentral:rRNA from 1 species
UGGGGAAUAUUGGACAAUGGGGGCAACCCUGAUCCAGCAAUGCCGCGUGAGUGAUGAAGGCCUUAGGGUUGUAAAGCUCUUUUACCGGGGACGAUGAUGACGGUACCCGGAGAAUAAGCCCCGGCUAACUUCGUGCCAGCAGCCGCGGUAAUACGAAGGGGGCGAGCGUUGUUCGGAAUUACUGGGCGUAAAGGGCGCGUAGGCGGCCGAGCAAGUUAGAUGUGAAAGUCCUGGGCUUAACCUGGGGACUGCAUUUGAUACUGCUUGGCUUGAAUUCGGGAGAGGAUAGCGGAAUUCCCAGUGUAGAGGUGAAAUUCGUAGAUAUUGGGAAGAACACCGGUGGCGAAGGCGGCUAUCUGGACCGACAUUGACGCUGAGGCGCGAAAGCGUGGGGAGCAAACA